GCACUUCUGAGGAGCCCCAUAAUAGGACGAAACGGCCGUUCAGUGC
rfam:Schistosoma mansoni, Puerto Rico, WGS project CABG01000000 data, contig: 0044